GCGCAGAGGGAGAUACCGAGGCCGAGAGGGGCCAAGCCCCUCAGUCGCUCCAGAAGACGGGAACACGGGGUAAAGAUGGUUUACAUCUCGAAUGGACAAGUAUUGGACAGCCGGAGUCAGUCCCCAUGGAGAUUAUCUUUGAUAACAGAUUUCUUCUGGGGAAUAGCAGAGUUUGUGGUUUUGUUUUUCAAGACUCUGCUUCAGCAAGAUGUGAAAAAGAGAAGAGGCUAUGGAAACUCCUCUGAUUCCAGAUAUGAUGAUGGAAGAGGGCCACCAGGCAACCCUCCCAGAAGAAUGGGUCGAAUUAAUCAUCUACGUGGCCCUAGUCCUCCUCCAAUGGCUGGUGGAUGAGGAAGGUAA